ACAAUAUUCGGACCGUCGGUCUAUCGAGAAAUAUCAUCUGCUCCAUGGAAGAUCUUCUCUUCGUCGU
rnacentral:pre_miRNA from 1 species